UACGUAGGGUCCAAGCGUUAUCCGGAAUCACUGGGCGUAAAGGGCGCGUAGGUGGCGCGGGCAGUCAACGGUGAAAGUUCGGGGCUCAACCCUGAAUCGGCCGUCGAUACUCCCGUGCUUGAGCACUGUAGAGGCAGAUGGAAUUCCGGGUGUAGCGGUGGAAUGCGUAGAGAUCCGGAAGAACACCGGUGGCGAAGGCGGUCUGCUGGGCAGUAGCUGACACUGAGGCGCGACAGCGUGGGGAGCAAACAGG
rnacentral:rRNA from 1 species